rnacentral:rRNA from 1 species
ACUUAAAUUGAAGAGUUUGAUCAUGGCUCAGAUUGAACGCUGGCGGCAGGCCUAACACAUGCAAGUCGAGCGGUAGCACAGAGAGCUUGCUCUCGGGUGACGAGCGGCGGACGGGUGAGUAAUGUCUGGGAAACUGCCUGAUGGAGGGGGAUAACUACUGGAAACGGUAGCUAAUACCGCAUAACGUCGCAAGACCAAAGUGGGGGACCUUCGGGCCUCAUGCCAUCAGAUGUGCCCAGAUGGGAUUAGCUAGUAGGUGGGGUAACGGCUCACCUAGGCGACGAUCCCUAGCUGGUCUGAGAGGAUGACCAGCCACACUGGAACUGAGACACGGUCCAGACUCCUACGGGAGGCAGCAGUGGGGAAUAUUGCACAAUGGGCGCAAGCC